CCUACGGGUGGCAGCAGUCGAGAAUCAUUCACAAUGGGGGAAACCUUGAUGGUGCGACGCCGCGUGGGGGAAUGAAGGUCUUCGGUUUGUAAAUCCCUGUCUUGUGGGAGCAAAUUUGAAAGAUAGUACCACAAGAGGAAGAGACGGCUAACUCUGUGCCAGCAGCCGCGGUAAUACAAAGGUCUCACGGGUUGUUCGGGAUCACUGGGGGGAAAGGGUGCGUGGGCUGUUUCGUAAAUCGUGUGGGAAAGGCGCGGGGUCAAACCGCGGACGGCGUAUGAUACUAGGAGAGUAGAGUAAUGUAGGGGGAAGCGGAAUUCCCGGUGAAGCAGUGAAAUGCGUAGAUAUAGGGAGGAACA
rnacentral:rRNA from 1 species